rnacentral:rRNA from 1 species
AUUGAACGCUGGCGGCAGGCCUAACACAUGCAAGUCGAACGGUAGCACAGAGAGCUUGCUCUCGGGUGACGAGUGGCGGACGGGUGAGUAAUGUCUGGGAAACUGCCCGAUGGAGGGGGAUAACUACUGGAAACGGUAGCUAAUACCGCAUAACGUCGCAAGACCAAAGAGGGGGGACCUUCGGGCCUUUUGUCCAUCGGAUGUGCCCAGAUGGGAUUAGCUUGUAGGUGG